AAAAUUUCGGAUCCGUAAAACCUGAAAAGACCAAAACAUCUUUUAAUCUGGCUUGCUCAAUUAAACACAGUCAAUGCAGCUGCCAGAAGAGCUGCUGUAAGUAGCUCUUCAUGGAGUGAGAACUACUGUAUGCUUUUAAAUACUGUAUACCUGUACUUGGAUAGCUGGAUGCUGCUAUCUGCAAGUUAAUCCCCUCAGCACAGAUCUGUAGAUCUGUAGUAUCUGAUAUCAAACAGUAGAGGGGGACACGAGAGCAACUUGCCUUAAUGCUACCUUCCACUUCCAUUAGGGAACACUCUCCCUGUUCUACUCUUUAAUAGUCUUUGUAUGCUUUUUAGUGAUAUGCACAUGCCUUUUGAAAGACAGCUACUGGGAGCUCAGUACUGAGGAUUGCUUUAGGAAGGACUGGGCACUAAUGGCUAGGGUGGAAACAGACCUCAGUCAUCUCCCUCUGCCCCCUUGCAGCAGACAGACUGAAAAUAGGAUUGCUUCAGAGGCAUUCUCCUCAGAAAAUGAGGUGAUAAUCCAGAGGAUAUGAAGGAAAAUGCUAAAAGCAUGCUUCCCCCAGAAUGAAUUAGAAGUUUGGGGUUUUUCUUAAUUGAACAAAUACAAAACUAUUUCUACUUCUGUACAGCAGAAUGAAUGCUGACCCCAAACUUCAGGAACAGCUGCAGAGGCUGCCAGGAGAAGCUGCCAGAUGCACAGAUGAUUGCUGGAAUGCAGGCCCAGGAGGGAGGGAAGCAUCCUCCAGUUCCAUCAUGGGGAACUGCAUUGCCACAAAUGAAGCAAGCAUGUUGCAUAAAGAGCUUUUGGAUCUUUAUUUGCAAGUCAGAAGCUGACCACAAGAGACAGGCCUGCUGCAGCAGGAGAUGAACAAUGUAAACUAUGGGGCCAGUGUUAAUUCCAGUUUUCUGUGUCUACACACCAGAUUAAUAAAAAUUGAGAAUAUAUGGUA